UACGGGUUGUAAACCUGUGUCAGGAGGGAUAAAGCGUAUCGGCCAAUACCCGAUGCGUCUGAAGGUACCUCCAAAGGAAGCUCCGGCUAACUCCGUGCCAGCAGCCGCGGUAAUACGGAGGGAGCAAACGUUGUUCGGAUUUACUGGGUGUAAAGGGUGCGUAGGCGGCUACGUGUGUCAGAGGUGAAAGCUCACGGCUCAACCGUGGCACUGCCUUUGAAACUGCGUAGCUUGAGUCCGAGAGAGGAUGGUGGAAUUCCUGGUGUAACGGUGAAAUGUGCAGAUAUCAGGAAGAACACCGGUGGCGAAGGCGGCCAUCUGGCUCGGUACUGACGCUGAGGCACGAAAGCUAGGGUAUCGAACGGGAUUAGAUACCCCGGUAGUCCUAGCCGUAAACGAUGUCCACUAGGUGUCGGAGGUCCUACCCCUUCGGUGCCGGAGCUAACGCAUUAAGUGGACCACCUGGGGAGUACGCUCGCAAGGGUGAAACUCAAAGGAAUUGACGGGGGCCCGCACAAGCGGUGGAGCAUGUGGUUUAAUUCGAUGCAACGCGAAGAACCUUACCUGGGCUUGACAUGCAGGGGACAGGUGUAGAGAUACACCCUUCUUCGGACUCCUGUACAGGUGCUGCAUGGCUGUCGUCAGCUCGUGUCGUGAAAUGUUGGGUUAAGUCCCGCAACGAGCGCAACCCUUGUCCUUAGUUGCCAGCACGUCAUGGUGGGAACUCUAGGGAGACUGCCGGUGACAAACCGGAGGAAGGUGGGGACGACGUCAAGUCAUCAUGGCCCUUACGUCCAGGGCUACACACGUGCUACAAUGGCACAUACAGAGGGCAGCGAACCCGCGAGGGGAAGCCAAUCCCAAAAAGUGUGCCUCGGUUCGGAUCGCAGUCUGCAACUCGACUGCGUGAAGUCGGAAUCGCUAGUAAUCGCGGAUCAGCAUGCCGCGGUGAAUCCGUUCCCGGGCCUUGUACACACCG
rnacentral:rRNA from 1 species